rnacentral:rRNA from 1 species
AUUGAACGCUGGCGGCAGGCCUAACACAUGCAAGUCGAGCGGAUGAGGGGAGCUUGCUCCUGGAUUCAGCGGCGGACGGGUGAGUAAUGCCUAGGAAUCUGCCUGGUAGUGGGGGAUAACGUCCGGAAACGGGCGCUAAUACCGCAUACGUCCUGAGGGAGAAAGUGGGGGAUCUUCGGACCUCACGCUAUCAGAUGAGCCUAGGUCGGAUUAGCUAGUUGGUGGGGUAAAGGCCUACCAAGGCGACGAUCCGUAACUGGUCUGAGAGGAUGAUCAGUCACACUGGAACUGAGACACGGUCCAGACUCCUACGGGAGGCAGCAGUGGGGAAUACUGGACAAUGGGCGAAAGCCUGAUCCAGCCAUGCCGCGUGUGUGAAGAAGGUCUUCGGAUUGUAAAGCACUUUAAGUUGGGAGGAAGGGCAGUAAGUUAAUACCUUGCUGUUUUGACGUUACCAACAGAAUAAGCACCGGCUAACUUCGUG